rnacentral:lncRNA from 1 species
UAAUUAAUUAGCAUGGCUUUGCUUAAGAUGGGUUUUGUUUUUACGGUUCUUCUCAUGGCAGCUACGAGUUAGUAUCUAUCUUACAUUAAAUCUAGAUUAUGAUUCUAUCAUAUUACAUAUGUAUGCAUGUCUUUUCAUGCAUGAUAAUUUGAAUGUGUGUUUUUGUGUUUUACCAUCAAUAUUAUAUUUUAAUUUUGUACUAAUUAUAAUGGUGAAUUAUUUCAGUUAAUAUGGCAUGGUUCUCUGAGACGCAUGUUGUGGUUGCAAGAAAUGUUGCUCAUGAUCUCUCAGGAGUUGAGAGAAGACUGCUCCCGCAACUUAAUACAUGUUUUCGAUCUUGUCAAAUAAAUGACGACUGCAAUGAUUGUUGGACGUGUUGUACUUGUGCAGGAUACGUGUACAAGGCAUGUGUAUUUUAAUCAACUACCAUUGCAGUUUACAUUUCUUCCUCCACUGAGCCGAUGGUCGAUUAGAAACAGCCUCUCUGUCCUUUCGGAUAGGGGUAAGGCUCGUGUACAUAUUAUCCUCCCCAGAAUCUACUUUGUGGGACUUUAUUGGAUAGUUGUUAUUGUUGUUAUUAUUGUUGCAGUUUACAUUGUUUAAAAUCCCUAUUAUGCAUUUGUGUCUUGUGAGUCUAGUGUUCCUUGUUUUUUCUUUGUACUUUGUUACUGUUUUCUUUUCAUGGUUUGUGUACUAUUGUUUUCUUUUCAAGAAGUAAUGUGACAAUGUUUCAUUUGAGCCGAGGAUCUAUUGGAAAUAACAUAUUUAUCUUUGCA